GCGAACGGAAGCGGCUGUACCGCGGCUUGGACAAUCAUGAGCGCAAUCUGUCCUCCUCGUCCUCGUCGCCGGCGUCGGUAGCUAGGCAGGACAGUGCCAUAACCAUCACAAGUUCAUCACAGUCCAGUGGGACCACCCAAAUGGUCGUCUCGCCCGACGAUCCCCGCCCGACCCCCAGUGACGUGGCGGCAGAUGUACGGAAUUGGGUGUAUUUACCUAGUUAUUAUCACUCUGAUGAUUUUACAAGCUCUGAUAUGAGCCUUAACGCAGUGAACGGUACUCGGCUGCCUAACAUACAGCCAAUACCCAGGCGUCGAGAGACGGUAAUCCUAAAUAAGAAAGCCAUGGAUAUAUAUCUGGCAGGGACUACAGGCGGGUAAUAAUAAUAAUAAUAUAAACCCACUAAUAAUUAUGUAAUUAGAUUUCAACAUCUAAAUAAAAACAUAUCUAUUUUCUAGAACUUUCAAAUUCUGCUUAUCAGACUAAAUCGGAGCACCCAGACACUGUGUGGGAGAGAGAGAGUGCAAUAUGUUUACGAGUUCAUGUGUGUGGUUGCUGGGCCCGAAAGAAAAGGAGAAAUAGACAGAAGAAACAAGGAAAGGCAACGCGGAAUGGAAAAAUAACACUGUUCGACAAAAUCGACAAAAACUUCUUCGAAAAAUUUUUAAAUGGGUAUUCUUUUGUAACGUUUUUGUUUUAGAGGUUUGAACAACUAAAUAUAAAUUAAAAUAUAUUAAUAUUGGG
rnacentral:lncRNA from 1 species